CGCUGGCGGGAUGCUUUACACAUGCAAGUCGAACGGCAGCAUGGAGAGCUUGCUCUCUGAUGGCGAGUGGCGAACGGGUGAGUAAUAUAUCGGAACGUGCCCAGUAAUGGGGAAUAACUAAUUGAAAGAUUAGCUAAUACCGCAUACGACCUACGGGUGAAAGCAGGGGAUCUUCGGACCUUGCGUUAUUGGAGCGGCCGAUAUCUGAUUAGCUAGUUGGUAGGGUAAAAGCCUACCAAGGCGACGAUCAGUAGCUGGUCUGAGAGGACGAUCAGCCACACUGGAACUGAGACACGGUCCAGACUCCUACGGGAGGCAGCAGUGGGGAAUUUUGGACAAUGGGGGAAACCCUGAUCCAGCCAUCCCGCGUGAGCGAAGAAGGCCUUCGGGUUGUAAAGCUCUUUCGGAAGUGAAGAAAACUUAUUUCGUAAUAUGUUAUAAGAAUGACGGUAACUUUAGAAGAAGCACCGGCUAACUACGUGCCAGCAGCCGCGGUAAUACGUAGGGUGCGAGCGUUAAUCGGAAUUACUGGGCGUAAAGCGUGCGCAGGCGGUUUUGUAAGUCAGAUGUGAAAUCCCCGAGCUUAACUUGGGAACUGCGUUUGAAACUACAAGACUAGAGUGUGUCAGAGGGGGGUAGAAUUCCACGUGUAGCAGUGAAAUGCGUAGAGAUGUGGAGGAAUAUCAAUGGCGAAGGCAGCCCCCUGGGAUAACACUGACGCUCAUGCACGAAAGCGUGGGGAGCGAACAGGAUUAGAUACCCUGGUAGUCCACGCCCUAAACGAUGUCAACUAGUUGUUGGUGGAGUAAGAUCCAUGAGUAACGUAGCUAACGCGUGAAGUUGACCGCC
rnacentral:rRNA from 1 species